rnacentral:tRNA from 1 species
GGGCCAUUAGCUCAGUUGGUAGAGCGCAUCAUUCGCAUUGAUGAGGUCAGCGGUUCGACUCCGCUAUGGUCCA